rnacentral:rRNA from 1 species
UACCUAUGGACGGGGAUAACCUCGGGAAACUGAGGAUAAUACCCGAUAGAUCAUUAUGCCUGGAACGGUUUAUGGUCCAAAUGAUUCGUUGCCAUAGGAUGGGACUGCGGCCUAUCAGCUUGUUGGUGAGGUAGUGGCCCACCAAGGCUAUUACAGGUACGGGCUCUGAGAGGAGAAGCCCGGAGAUGGGUACUGAGACACGGACCCAGGUCCUAUGGGGCGCAGCAGGCGAGAAAACUUUGCAAUGUGCGCAAGCACGACAAGGUUAAUCCGAGUGAUUCCUGCUAAAGGAAUCUUUUGUUAGUUGUAACACUACUGAUGAAUAAGGGGUGGGCAAGUUCUGGUGUCAGCCGCCGCGGUAAAACCAGCACCUCAAGUGGUCAGGAGGAUUGUUGGGCCUAAAGCAUCCGUAGCCUGUCCUAUAAGUUUCCGGUUAAAUCCAUUUGCUCAACAAAUGGGCUGCCGGAAAUACUGUAGGACUAGGGAGUGGGAGAGGUANACGGUACUCGGUAGGAAGGGGUAAAAUCCUUUGAUCUA